AAACUAACAAGGAUUCCCCUAGUAGCGGCGAGCGAAGCGGGAAGAGCUCAAAUUUGUAAUCUGGCACCUUCGGUGUCCGAGUUGUAAUCUCUAGAAGUGUUUUCCGCGUUGGACCGCACACAAGUCUGUUGGAAUACAGCGGCAUAGUGGUGAUACCCCAUUACACGGUGCGGACGCCCAGCGCUUUGUGAUACACUUUCGACGAGUCGAGUUGUUUGGGAAUGCAGCUCAAAUUGGGUGGUAAAUUCCAUCUAAAGCUAAAUAUUGGCGAGAGACCGAUAGCGAACAAGUACCGUGAGGGAAAGAUGAAAAGCACUUUGGAAAGAGAGUUAAAAGUACGUGAAAUUGUUGGAAGGGAAACGCUUGAAGUCAGACUUGCUUGCCGGGCUUGCU
rnacentral:rRNA from 1 species